AAACUUAAAUGAAUUGACGGGACCCGCACAAGCGGUGGAUGAUGUGGUUUAAUUCGAUGCAACGCGAAAACCUUACCCACCUUUGACAUGGCAGGAAUCCUGAAGAGAUUUGGGAGUGCCCGAAAGAGAACCUGCACACAGGUGCUGCAUGGCUGUCGUCAGCUCGUGUCGUGAGAUGUUGGGUUAAGUCCCGCAACGAGCGCAACCCUUGCCAUUAGUUGCUACGAAAGGGCACUCUAAUGGGACUGCCGGUGACAAACCGGAGGAAGGUGGGGAUGACGUCAAGUCCUCAUGGCCCUUAUGGGUAGGGCUUCACACGUCAUACAAUGGUCGGUACAGAGGGUUGCCAACCCGCGAGGGGGAGCUAAUCCCACAAAGCCGAUCGUAGUCCGGAUCGCAGUCUGCAACUCGACUGCGUGAAGUCGGAAUCGCUAGUAAUCGUGGAUCAGCAUGUCACGGUGAAUACGUUCCCGGGUCUU
rnacentral:rRNA from 1 species